UUAAGUUUGAUCUUGGCUCAGGACGAAACGCUGGCGGGGGGCCUAAUACAUGCAAGUCGAGCGAGCAGAACCAGCAGAUUUACUUCGGUAAUGACGCUGGGGACGCGAGCGGCGGAUGGGUGAGUAACACGUGGGGAACCUGCCCCAUAGUCUGGGAUACCACUUGGAAACAGGUGCUAAUACCGGAUAAGAAAGCAGAUCGCAUGAUCAGCUUAUAAAAGGCGGCGUAAGCUGUCGCUAUGGGAUGGCCCCGCGGUGCAUUAGCUAGUUGGUAAGGUAACGGCUUACCAAGGCAAUGAUGCAUAGCCGAGUUGAGAGACUGAUCGGCCACAUUGGGACUGAGACACGGCCCAAACUCCUACGGGAGGCAGCAGUAGGGAAUCUUCCACAAUGGACGCAAGUCUGAUGGAGCAACGCCGCGUGAGUGAAGAAGGUUUUCGGAUCGUAAAGCUCUGUUGUUGGUGAAGAAGGAUAGAGGUAGUAACUGGCCCNUUUUUAUUUGGCGGUUAUCAAACAGAAAGAGGG
rnacentral:rRNA from 1 species